CUAAUGAGACGUGCAUCUGUAAUAUGAUUACCAAGUCAGCAUGGCUGUGCCACUGAACAGAGGUCUCCUUUGGCAGAGAUAUCUGCACAAGACUGCACGCUCUGCCGGUAGUCAGUCAGUCAGAUGGUCAAUGACUCAGCCGUUGCGUUUGGGGAAAGAUGGCAAAUCGGUGGCACCAAGCUGAGAGACGUCUCGCUCCAAUUAAAGGAGGGAGAAGUUUAUAACUCCUUACAAACACAAACAGCAGUAACCACAAAGCCCAACUGCUGGGAAGCAUCUUAUUAAUUGUAAUAAAUUACCAGCUUGCUUACAUAAGUAGAAUCUGGAGGAUUGUGGAUGGGCCUUUUCCACCAGCAUGCCGAAGACAGUAAUGAAGCAGAUGAAUGAAGAUAGCGGGGGUUUCUGGAUUUGCAUAGAAGAUCAGCAACAGGAAAUAAAAGGUCCUCUGCGUUGUGACCCACAGAGGAGAGACAACGUUCGUCGACAUCAACGCAGCCAGACCAUCACAGCAAAUGCAAUUUCGAGCGUGCAUUAUUCAGCGUCGUGGGUGAUUAUUUAAUCUUUGAAGCAAUCGCAGGGCAGCUGCUGUGCAUGUCGCACACGGGGCACGUGCGCAAGACUUCCAACGCUUGAGAAAAACAAGUCAGCUACUUUGAGGCAGCUCAAAUCAAACGACGAAAUACGUGGCGAAGCGAUCAUCCGACGUCAGAUAUGGCCUUGCCUUAAGUUUAUUUUAAGACGUCGGCCGUCACGCGAAGUGGCACAUUGGAGCAGGCUAUUUUUUUUUUCUACACUGGGGUCUGCAUGUUGGGAGUUUUACAUUCAUUAUGGUAAUUACCCAUGGCAGCCAGUGAUGACUCCUGCAUGCUGUGUGUCCACUGAGCUGGCAUCAUUGACGGGGCAGGGCCCACACUCUAAAUAAAUUACUACACACAGUGUUUCCCUCAUAAAUUUGUGAAUCCGUGCUACAGGCGUUCCCUGUAAGCACAUUCGUCGUGUGCAGCUUUUUCUCUUCUUCCUUCCCUUCCCUUCUUACUUUCAUUGUCCGGGGUGUUGGCCGUCAUGGUGGAGUUCUUUCUGUGGCUGCGAGUGUCAACGUCUCUCCAUCUAGACAGAGGGGCAUUAUCAGACGGAGGGAUAGACUCCUGCAUUCAGUCUUUGACUAUAAAUAACCUCCCAACACAUUGACAUUCAUGACGUGAAAUGGUAGCUUUGAGAAGAACUGGCACUUUGUGCACAGCCUGUUUUUAAUUUAAUUUCACAAAUCCAACAUCAGUGUGUCAAAGUCAGGCCGUCCUUCCUUUCUUCUUCUUGUUAGAUCGUCAUGUAAACUGAACAGUACUUAUAAAAUCUGUUUUUGUCUUAAAAAGGUUUUCUUGAAACACACAUGUGCACAUAUACAGCUUGUUUCAAUAUUUUUUUUUCUCUGUUACUUUACAGAGAAAAGUAACAGAUUAUAUUUCUAUGCAGGGCAGUUUAGUGAGACUUUUAGGCUAAGAUGUGUUUACUUAGCUUUUUUUUAAUAUAAUUGUGUUAAUAUUUUUGUUGGUAACACUUUGACUGGACCACUCCAAAAUGUCUUUUUUUUUUUUUACCAGUUAAGUCUAAGACUUUCUGCUGUUCUUUGGAUCGUUAUCCUGUUUCAUAACCCAAAGGAGUUGGGCUAAACAUUGAUGGUCUGAUAUUUUUCUUUAGGUUUUUCUCUUUAAAAAUAAAAAAAAUUAACAUCAAUCAAUCAUUGGAAAUCAUCAAGUCAAAUAACAGCGCAGCCCAUGCUAUCCCCACCAGGUAUGAUGUUUUUUUCUGGGGGGUUUUUGUUUGUUUUUCACCUAAAAAAUACAGAACAGAUUUCCUUCAAAAAGUUCCAGUUCUGUCUUGUUCGUGUCCACAAAUUAUUUUUGGAAAACGUGAGUCCAGCCUUUACGUUCUUUUUGAUCAACGGUGCUUUUUGCCUUUGAACUUACUCUUGGAUACCUGUUUUAUUCAGUCUGUUUCUCGUGGUUGAAUCAUGUACUCUGACCUUAACUGAGGAAAGUGACGCCCGUAUUGCUUUAGAUGUCGUUCUCAGUUCUUUUGUGACAUCUGAGUUGUCGAUGCGCUCAUGUUCCGUGGUUUCUUCAUUUGCACGUUGUAGCUCUCACUAUUGUUAACUGGAGUCUUGAACAGUUAAGAAUGGAUGUUUUUCGUUUCCCAAGUUGGUUUUGUUUGUUAUCUGUUCUAUGGGGCAUGCUGUGCUGCGUCUUUACAUCCUUUAGAUCUCCCAGCCACAUUGUCAGGCAAGUUCUGUUAAGGCGAUUGUGCAAGUUAGCUAGUUAUAUCAUCUGAAUGUGACCAGUUGAACUGAACUCAGCUUUACAAAAAAAUACAGUUGAUUCAAAUACCAGCCUGAGGUUUUUCUGUGUGGAGUUUGCAUGUUCUCCCUCUGCGUGCGUGGGUUGUCUCUGGGUACUCUGGCUACUUCCCCCACAGUCCAGACACAUGGCUGUUAGGUCAAAUGACCUCUUCAAAUGUCCUUGGGUAUUAGUGUGUGCAUGCAUCCUUGUUUGUCUCUGUGUUACCCUGUGAUGGAUUGGUGACCUGCCAGGAUUCACCUCACCUCUCGACCAAUGACCGCUGGAGAUAGAAACCUGGCUUCCCACUUGUUUCUGCAACGAUAAGCAGGUGUAGAUAGUGGAUUGAUGUCUGGCAAAUAACUAGUUAGCAUGGAUAUAGACUUUCUCUAAAUGUUACUAGCUGAGUAACAUUUGCAAAAUGUUACUCCAAUGAGUAGCAUUUCGUGCUUGUCAGUAGAAUGAACUUUAUUCCUCAUCAAGCUUUUUGAUUCAUAUUUCAAUUUUUUUUUAGAAAUGUUAUUUUUAUGGCACAUUUGACUUGUAUUUUCUAUUUUAAAGCAAUAAAGAACUUUUCCUUUGUGAAAAUAUAAUAUUUAAACACAAGAGAAACAGAAAUGUAGAACUUACUAGCCAGGAGGCCCUAGAAACUGUGAGCAAUUUAAUUGAACAUAAUUCAUGAAUUUCAGAAAUACUUCUAAAAUGCAUAAACCUUGUUAGUGGUGAGUUAGUAAGACAAACUAACAAAAGGUCAUGUGUUAUUUUAGAGCAAAUAAAUCCCAAAUUGACUGUUAUCUUAAACACCCGAAGGAUUGUUUUGUUCUGGCCAGCUGUCUGUAUAAGAUCUCUUGUGAAUAAAAGUAUGAUAUUCUUUCAACACAAAUGUCCUUGUAAAGGAAAAGUAUCAUUGACUCUUUCUUUUCUUUGUUAUUAUUGUGUGAAAUGAAAACUUAGCAUAAAAAAAAGCUUUUGAAAAUUAAAUCACUGCAAAUAAUAAACUUCAGUUCACCCUAGAGAAGAGCUGUUCUCCCCUGAGGCUAUUGUGUUUCCAACCAGCUUCUGCUGGAAACACAAUCUUUGCAACAGUGAGCUGUGAAAUUUGCUACCUGUAAAUCCUUCAACAUGAAAAAUUAAUAAAUGAGCUGAGAACUUAGUUUACAUCUAAAUAUGGAAUGUCAUGACAAAACUGUGUAAAAAAAGAUCAUACAACUCAAAAUGUCUUCACAAACUGAUAGUUUCACAUUACCAACAGUGAUAUAUAUGAUUUUCCUUCCUUUUUUAAUUUGACAAAAACAUUCUCAGUGCAAUGUAUUCAUUACCAAGACCCAUUUUUAUACUGCUGUUUGUUUUGAACAAAGAAAAAUGCUAGACUAUAAAUGUAUGAUUUAUAGACAGGAGUACUUUGUUCCAUCUCCUUUUCAUUUCAAAUCACUGCUUUUAUAUGAUUUUCAGAAAGGCAAGGUCAGAAUUGCUGCCACAGAUUUUCAUCUCCUCUUUUUAAGUUUUUGUAUUUUUGCCAGCUCUUUCAGAGCAGAUGACUAACGACAAAGAAAGAUCGACAAGCCGCAGCCUCAAGCGACAAGAAAAAUGUGAUUUAUCCUUGUUAUUAACCUGUACAACUUUCCUCUACACUCGUUCGGAUUCAUUGCUAAAUUUAUCGCUUUUCUCCUGCCAUUUUUCUUCGGUGCACCUUUGCGUUUUUUCUUUUUACUUUUGAUCUAUAUUCCCCAGAUUGAGGGUUGCCAUUUAUAGAAAGUAGCAAUUUUGAUAGCUUCCAGGAGUGUAUGGAGGGAAAGGAUAUGGAUUGUAAAUGACAAUUUAUUAAAAGCAGCAUGAGGUGAGUGGCCAGAAAAAACAAACAAACAAACAAAACCACUCCAACCACACACGUCAAUUAUAGUCUAUAGAUUAACAAACCAAUGGGAACCUUUUAGCUGUCCACCACAAACAUAUUGACUUUUUCCCUACAAGAACCCACAGUUUUGUGUGAAUUGAAUUUUAUGCAUUUCAUGCCUGAUCUGCACAGUUGUUUGCCCGCGGAAUGGAAGCAGCUUUGUUUUUCGUAACGAGGUAGUUUAAAAUAUGAGCAUUAUUGUUUUGGUAAUGGAGGAAUUUCAGGCACCUCCAACUGUCUGCCGCUCCCACCACUGCUUCCAGCUUUUCCUUUUUUUCCUUUUAUCUAUGCGAUAAGCUAUCAGCAAGGCAGGGCAAAGUGAGUUUGAUGAAGUCUUU